CGGCCACAUCACGUUGAAGCAAUAAUUCUCGUACGAUCACCGAAGUUAAGCAACCGCGAGACUAGACAGUACCUAGAUGGGUGACCGCUUGGGUAUACCAGGUACUGGA